GACUUUCACUCUCUUUGUUCUUCUUCUUCAUUUUCUUUUUCCUCGACGAGCUUGGUGGGUGAGUUUGUGGAUGUGGUGCUUACAUUUUGUGAGUUAUGAUCUUGUGGUGGUCUCGUUGUGUUGGCUAUGGUUCUGGUGCAUUAGUGGUGGCCGUUUUAGUGUUGUGGUUCGCCAGAGGAGAAAAAGGAUAAGUUGACAUUCGAGGUAAGAAGCUAAGGUCGUG
rnacentral:lncRNA from 1 species